rnacentral:rRNA from 1 species
AUUGAACGCUGGCGGCAUGCCUUACACAUGCAAGUCGAACGGCAGCACGGGAGCAAUCCUGGUGGCGAGUGGCGAACGGGUGAGUAAUAUAUCGGAACGUGCCCAGUCGUGGGGAUAACGUAGCGAAAGCUACGCUAAUACCGCAUACGAUCUAUGGAUGAAAGCGGGGGAUCGCAAGACCUCGCGCGAUUGGAGCGGCCGAUAUCAGAUUAGGUAGUUGGUGAGGUAAAGGCUCACCAAGCCGACGAUCUGUAGCUGGUCUGAGAGGACGACCAGCCACACUGGGACUGAGACACGGCCCAGACUCCUACGGGAGGCAGCAGUGGGGAAUUUUGGACAAUGGGCGCAAGCCUGAUCCAGCAAUGCCGCGUGCAGGAUGAAGGCCUCGGUUGUAACUGACUUUUGUACGGUAACGAAACGGUAG